rnacentral:rRNA from 1 species
UACGUAGGGGGCUAGCGUUGUCCGGAAUCAUUGGGCGUAAAGCGCGCGUAGGCGGUCAGGUAAGUCCGGUGUGAAAGUCAAAGGCUCAACCUUUGAAUGUCAGUGGAUACUGCCGGGCUAGAGUCCGGAAGAGGCGAGUGGAACUCCUGGUGUAGCGGUGGAAUGCGCAGAUAUCAGGAAGAACACCCGUGGCGAAGGCGGCUCUCUGGGACGGUACUGACGCUGAGACGCGAAAGCGUGGGGAGCGAACAGG